UGCCAUUGCUCAAAGGGAUGAAAUCAUCCAUAAUCUCCAAGCCCUUUACGAAGAAUGAAGGGACAAGUACACCAACAUGAUGGUAUUAACUAACUAUGCUCUUCAAGACUUUCCCGACAUGUUGAAGGAGGCGGAUCUGAUCAUGUGCCUAGAUAAUACCCCCGAAGAGGUUUACCACUUCGUCAAGUUCUGCAAGAGGUCGAUGGACGACCUCAUCACUGACAUUGAGGCUCUUUGCAAGUCUCAAGGGGUCACUUUUAGGAUGGAUAUCUAGUUGGUUUAUUUGCUUCCGUUAUUUGUAUUUUGCAACUUCUAUGUAUUGCAGUCUAUUUUCCCUUCAAAGGAUGAAUGAAAGUUGUGAUUUUCUCUAUUGUGUUUUCCUUUAUUUAUGAUUGUGAAUGUGAAUCGUCAAGUAGUUUUUGCAAUGAAUAAACACGAAUAACUAAAAGAGCUUUGCUUUAAAAUAAAACAAAAAAAAUGCAUUCAUGCAUCAUUUGCAUCUUUCGAAACACAAAAAC
rnacentral:lncRNA from 1 species